GUAGGGGGCAAGCGUUGUCCGGAUUUAUUGGGCGUAAAGCGCGUGUAGGCGGCCACGCAGGUCCGCUGUGAAAACUCGAGGCUCAACCUCGAGCUGUCGGUGGAAACCGCGUGGCUAGAGUCCGGAAGAGGAGACUGGAAUUCCCGGUGUAGCGGUGGAAUGCGCAGAUAUCGGGAGGAACACCCGUGGCGAAGGCGGGUCUCUGGGACGGUACUGACGCUGAGACGCGAAAGCGUGGGGAGCGAACAGGAUUAGAUACCCUGGUAGUCCACGCCGUAAACGAUGGGCACUAGGUGUGGGCGGUGUCGACUCCGUCCGUGCCGAAGCUAACGCAUUAAGUGCCCCGCCUGGGGAGUACGGCCGCAAGGCUAAA
rnacentral:rRNA from 1 species